AGCGAACGCUGGCGGCAGGCUUAACACAUGCAAGUCGAACGGGCGUAGCAAUACGUCAGUGGCAGACGGGUGAGUAACGCGUGGGAACGUACCUUUUGGUUCGGAACAACCCAGGGAAACUUGGGCUAAUACCGGAUAAGCCCUUACGGGGAAAGAUUUAUCGCCGAAAGAUCGGCCCGCGUCUGAUUAGCUAGUUGGUGUGGUAACGGCGCACCAAGGCGACGAUCAGUAGCUGGUCUGAGAGGAUGAUCAGCCACAUUGGGACUGAGACACGGCCCAAACUCCUACGGGAGGCAGCAGUGGGGAAUAUUGGACAAUGGGCGCAAGCCUGAUCCAGCCAUGCCGCGUGAGUGAUGAAGGCCCUAGGGUUGUAAAGCUUCUUUUGUGCGGGAAGAUAAUGACGGUACGCAAGAAUAAGCCCCG
rnacentral:rRNA from 1 species